GACGAACGCUGGCGGCGUGCUUAACACAUGCAAGUCGAACGGAAAGGCCCUGCUUUUGUGGGGUGCUCGAGUGGCGAACGGGUGAGUAACACGUGAGUAACCUGCCCUUGACUUUGGGAUAACUUCAGGAAACUGGGGCUAAUACCGGAUAGGAGCUCCUGCUGCAUGGUGGGGGUUGGAAAGUUUCGGCGGUUGGGGAUGGACUCGCGGCUUAUCAGCUUGUUGGUGGGGUAGUGGCUUACCAAGGCUUUGUCGGGUAGCCGGCCUGAGAGGGUGACCGGCCACAUUGGGACUGAGAUACGGCGCAGACUCCUACGGGAGGCAGCAGGGGGGAAUAUUGCACAAUGGGCGGAAGCCAGAUGCAGAAACGCCGCGUGCGGGAUGACGGCCUUCGGGUUGUAAACCGCUUUCGCCUGUGACGAAGCGUGAGUGACGGUAAUGGGUAAAGAAGCACCGGCUAACUACGUG
rnacentral:rRNA from 1 species